UAGCAAGUCACGGAAGUCGUCAUAAUGAUUCUGAUAUAGAUAUGAAGAUUUAUCUGAUUUGAAAUUGAAGUUGAUUAUGACAAUGGCUUAGUGGCGGGACUGGUGAGUAACGCGUAAGCAAUCUGCCUAUUAGAGGGGAAUAACAGUGAGAAAUCAUUGCUAAUACCGCAUAUGCCAUAGUUAUCGCAUGAUAAUAGUGGGAAAGGAGCAAUCCGCUAAUAGAUGAGCUUGCGUCUGAUUAGUUAGUUGGUGGGGUAACGGCCUACCAAGACUACGAUCAGUAGCCGGACUGAGAGGUUGAACGGCCACAUUGGGACUGAGAUACGGCCCAGACUCCUACGGGAGGCAGCAGUCGGGAAUAUUGCGCAAUGGAGGAAACUCUGACGCAGUGACGUCGCGUAUAGGAUGAAGGUUUUCGGAUUGUAGACUAUUGUCGUUAGGGAAGAUAAAAAGACAGUACCUAAGGAGGAAGCUCCGGCUAACUACGUGCCAGCAGCCGC
rnacentral:rRNA from 1 species